AGCGAACGCUGGCGGCAGGCUUAACACAUGCAAGUCGAACGCCCCGCAAGGGGAGUGGCAGACGGGUGAGUAACACGUGGGAACGUACCCUUUGGUUCGGAAUAACUUGGGGAAACUCAAGCUAAUACCGGAUAAGCCCUUAUGGGGAAAGGUUUACUGCCGAAGGAUCGGCCCGCGUCUGAUUAGCUAGUUGGUGAGGUAAUGGCUCACCAAGGCGACGAUCAGUAGCUGGUCUGAGAGGAAGAUCAGCCACACUGGGACUGAGACACGGCCCAGACUCCUACGGGAGGCAGCAGUGGGGAAUAUUGGACAAUGGGGUCAACCCUGAUCCAGCCAUGCCGCGUGAGUGAUGAAGGCCUUAGGGUUGUAAAGCUCUUUUACCCGGGACGAUAAUGACUGUACCGGGAGAAUAAGCCCCGGCUAACUUCGUGCCAGCCGCCGCGGUAA
rnacentral:rRNA from 1 species